UAAUCUAUAACAACCAUGGAAUGUGGUAUCAUUAACAUCAGUUGAAAAAGUAAACUAAGUUUAAUUCAUGGUAAUUCAUGAGACGAAUUCAUUGACCAGAGGAGGUCAAAGAGUCAUGGUUCUUAAAAUGAAUGUUGUAGUCCUCUGCCUUUCGAUAACCUUACUAUGAUCAUUUUUAUGUAAGAGGCAACUAAGCCGUAAGUGGGUAAAAAGCAUAGAUUUGCUCAAUUUCUAACCUGUUUUUUUCAUGAUACAUGCAUCAUCCUAAACUAUUCCUCAAAUUUAUCAUUUAAUCUCUGCUUUAACAAUUUAGUGAGCUGAGGAAAUUAUAAUACCAUUUAAAAAUAGCAUAAUCAUUAGAAAUAUCUUCUUUAUGUUGACCUAAAAUUAACUUCCCUCCUAUCCCUGGUGAUGCCACUCAUAUUGCCAAAACUAGAUGGUGACCAAACCUGUCAGAUUGUUUUUUAAAGAUGCUGAGGAGCAGAUUUCUCAUGGGGAGCACCUUCUGAUACAUUUUAAUACGUUUCUUACAGGCUAGUCAAAUAAAGCAGUGGGAGUGGAAAAGGAUCAAAGAAAUCUGUAACCGGUUAUGAUCAAUUAGUUGUAAACACCACUGCACGAGGACCAGCCCAAAGCUGCUACUUAACCAAGUGACUUUCUGAUUGCUCAACUGUGUUUCCACUGAGAAAAAUGCAUUGAAAUGAAACAUCUCAUUUCCAGUACUGUCCUGAGGCAAAAAGAGACAAUGAUACGUAUCUCCAAUUUAGACUGGAUGAAACUAGCCACAUUUCAAAUAAAGAAGUCACAUUGUAAGUGUAAAACGACGUUAACCUUAAAGGAGACAUUUCCGCCCUGUAUAACUAUGCACAGCUUCAACUAAUGGUAUAUGAACUGUGUCUACAAACCAAAGGACAUUUUUCUAAAGAAACUUUAAAUAUAGAAAAUUAACUCAAACCUUACCUUAGAGCUUCCUCCUCUAUUGUCUUUUCCUGUAGUGGUAGUCUCUGUGGCACUUACAGGUGGUAAACAAAUAAAAAAGUGUCUUAUUGAAUUAACUUGAUUGCCAUAUUGAUCAGUUUUAUGUGUUUUUAUUCUUAAGCAUAACAAUAAAAGAAAAUGAUUAAGCAAUGUUUUGCUUAAAAAAAAAAGAUUUCAUGGCAGAGAAGCAAUUGAGUCCAGUUAAGAGACAGUUAAGAACAUUUUUCAGUUUGGAGCUUUUGUUUUGUGAUGAGAACUUUGCCAGUUAGUCACAAAUGAACUUGAGCACAUUUUCUUGAGCGUGAUGGCUGAACAGAUGAGCCACACACACUUUAUAGUGAGUUUUACUGCACUGAGUCUUUACCUACUAUUCCUAGUAGUUACACAUAUUAAAUUAUUAAUAACUGAUCAACAUUUUAAAAGAAGGUUUCAAAAGAAAUGUAAUUAGAUUUUAUAGUUGAGUUUUAGCUAAUGUGUGAUUCCACAAAAGUUCAGGUGCCGAGAUUACAUUUCAAUUUAUACUUGCCAUCUGCUAGAAUAUUCCCCUCUGUCUACAGCAUCCUGACCAGAUCUCCAAAUUUUGAAAUCUGUUUUCAUUAUUCAAGACUCAUUGUACAUUUCAAAUACCAGGUUGAUUUCUUAGUCUCCAUGUUCUCCAUGUCUGCUUAUGACUUUACAGAAAAAAUGUUAUUUACUAUGCAUAUUAAUAUUGAGAUUCUUUACUAUGCUGUAUCUUUUUUUUUUUUUUUUUUUUUUUGAGAUGGAGUCUCACUAUGUUGCCCAGGCUGGAGUGCAGUGGCGCCAUCUCGGCUCACUGCAAGCUUCGCCUCCUGGGUUCAUGCCAUUCUCCUACCUCAGCCUCCUGAGUAGCUGGGAUUCUAAUCUCCGCCACCACGCCUGGCCAAUUUUUUGUAUUUUUAGUAGAGACAGGGUUUCACUUUGUUAGCCAGGAUGGGAGCUCGUAAUCCGCCCACCUCGGCCUCCCAAAGCUGGGAUUACAGGCGUGAGCCACUGUGCCUGGCCUACUAUGCUGUAUUCUUAUAGUUAACAGCAUGCUCUUUGAUAAUAUCUCAUUGGAAAUAUUUAUGCUCUGAAACAUUAUUUUUUGAAUUGUUAAAUAUAAAUCAUUUAUACAGCAAUACUUUAUGGGAGAAGCAUAUGCUGAAUUUUAAUGGUGUUUACUUUGCAAUCCAAAAUUGUGAAUACAUACAUGUAAAACUAUGAAAUUGCUAAUUAAAUAUUUCCAUCUAUCAUA
rnacentral:lncRNA from 10 species